UACGAAGGGGGCUAGCGUUGCUCGGAAUUACUGGGCGUAAAGCGCACGUAGGCGGUCUUUUAAGUCGGGGGGGAAAUCCUGGAGCUCAACUCCAGAACUGCCUUCGAUACUGGAAGACUUGAGUCCGGGAGAGGUGAGUGGAACUGCGAGUGUAGAGGUGAAAUUCGUAGAUAUUCGCAAGAACACCAGUGGCGAAGGCGGCUCACUGGCCCGGUACUGACGCUGAGGUGCGAAGGCGUGGGGAGCAAACAGG
rnacentral:rRNA from 1 species